rnacentral:rRNA from 1 species
GACGAACGCUGGCGGCGUGCUUAACACAUGCAAGUCGAACGGUGAAGCGCCUUCCUUUUUGGUGGGUGUGGAUGAGUGGCGAACGGGUGAGUAACACGUGAGUAACCUGCCCCCACCUUCUGGAUAACCGCAAGCAAGUGUGGCUAAUACGGGAUAUUCUGGGUCUGUCGCAUGAUGGGUCUGGGAAAGAUUUUGUUUCGGUGGGGGAUGGGCUCGCGGCGGAUUAGCUAGUUGGUGGGGUGAUGGCCUACCAAGGCGGCGAUGGGUAGCCGGCCUGAGAGGGUGGUCGGCGGUCCCACUGCGGCUGCGCCGCCGCCACGACUCCGACGGGCAGCAGUAGGGAAUAUUAUUGCACAGGGGGCGGCAGGCUGGUGCAGCGCCGCGUCGGUGGUGAUGGUCGUCUGCGGGUUGUGAUCCUCUAUCGCGAGAGAAGCAAUCCGGCCUCGUUUGUGGGUGUGUUGACGGUAGCUGGAUAAAAAGCGCCGGCUAACUACGUG